GGUUUCAUAAUUCAAUAAAUUGCAAAUUUAUUAUUGCUAUAAAGCUGAAGCCU
rnacentral:tRNA from 1 species